rnacentral:tRNA from 1 species
GGUUGGAUAGCUCAGUUGGUUAGAGUAUCUGGAAUAUAACCAGAAGGUCCUGGGUUCAAUCCCCAGUUUGGUCA